GCGCAAAAAAAAAAAAAAAAAAAAAAAAAAAAAAAAAAAAA
rnacentral:ribozyme from 13 species